CUGAAGUGGUUCAGUGCAUUGAGUACCAGCCUAUGAAUCGAGAGGUCACUGGUUUGAUUCCCAGUCAGGGCACAUGCCUCGGUUUUAGGCCAGGUUCCCAGUUGGGGGCAUGCCAGGAGACA